AUCCAGUUAAUGAGUUCCAAAUAGGACGAAACGUGCGUCCUGGAU
rfam:Schistosoma rodhaini strain Burundi genome assembly, scaffold: SROB_scaffold0005208